GAUGAACGCUGGCGGCGUGCCUAAUACAUGCAAGUCGAGCGAACAGACGAGGAGCUUGCUCCUCUGACGUUAGCGGCGGACGGGUGAGUAACACGUGGAUAACCUACCUAUAAGACUGGGAUAACUUCGGGAAACCGGAGCUAAUACCGGAUAAUAUAUUGAACCGCAUGGUUCAAUAGUGAAAGACGGUUUUGCUGUCACUUAUAGAUGGAUCCGCGCCGCAUUAGCUAGUUGGUAAGGUAACGGCUUACCAAGGCAACGAUGCGUAGCCGACCUGAGAGGGUGAUCGGCCGCACUGGAACGGAGACACGGUCCAGACUCCUACGGGAGGCAGCAGUAGGGAAUCUUCCGCAAUGGGCGAAAGCCUGACGGAGCAACGCCGCGUGAGUGAUGAAGGUCGUCGGAUCGUAAAACUCUGUUAUUAGGGAAGAACAAAUGUGUAAGUAACUAUGCACGUCUUGACGGUACCUAAUCAGAAAGCCACGGCUAACUACGUGC
rnacentral:rRNA from 1 species